CUGCCUUCACACUUCUCUUCUAUGACAGGAAGACACUAAACUCUUCCUACCCAGUCUAGAGUCAUUUGGUUAGUUAGAGGUAGUUCAAAAUUUGCAUGGAGGAAAAAAUCAAGAUGUGAAGCAGAUUUCUAAAUAGCUGAUGUAUUAAUCACCUUUGUUCAGAUUUUUGUUGUCUUUGAGUCACAAGGUGGAAAAGACCUUCAAACAUAUGAACAUGUUUCACUCUCCAUUUUUCCAUUUCCCCAAGAAGGGCAGCCCAGUCUCUCCGUGGAUGUCUUCUAUAAAGUAUUGUCAUCCAAGUUUCAGGAAGACUCAGAAACUGGAACGCUAAGUGACAAGACUGGAGGGAGGAGAGGGCCCUCCUGGAGGCUGCUUCUAGGAGCGGUAAACUUCAUAGUCAGACUCAUCCUAAUGAUAUGGGAGCAGAAGAAAGCAAUCAAAUAUUGAACCAUUGCUUAUUUCAGGCCAGAAACAUUGAGCAUUGCUUUGAUGUCCACAUCCUGACUGCAUGCUCCUCAGCUCUGCAAAUAUUGCCAAAAGAAGGCCUCAAGAGUCAGAGAUGUCUUGGAUAUUUCUGUAUUUCAACCUUUACUACCCAGACACCCAGACAAGAAAUGAUUAACCUUGGGUGCUGCCUGAUUCCAGGGAUAUAUCUGGACACAGGACUCUCAGUGCUGGAACUAGAACAGUCCCAAGAAAACUGGGACAGUUGGUCACCUUAUUAUUUCCAAACGAAGAUCAGAGGAACCAAAAAUACAUCGAAGAAGAAAUAACUGUGGGCAGAGCCAUGGAAUGGGUUUCAGUGGAACUGAGAGGAAAAGUUGGCUUUACCAGUUGACAUACUCAAGACUGUGACCUGCUCAAACCUGCCCCUGCUGUUGCUGAAUUCGAUAACCUGGCCAAGGUAUGUCCUUACCACCUUCAAAUUCUGGGGCACAGGGAGUAUUUGGAGCACUUAGAUUCCCAUGGCAGAUUGACAAAGCAUGUCUCAACCAGUGAGUUUCUUGGGAUUGUCUCCCUCACCCUAGAGCUCCCUUGAUGAUCUUGAAAUU
rnacentral:lncRNA from 13 species